rnacentral:rRNA from 1 species
UUGAAUUGAAGAGUUUGAUCAUGGCUCAGAUUGAACGCUGGCGGCAGGCUUAACACAUGCAAGUCGAACGGUAGCACAAAGGAGCUUGCUCCUUGGGUGACGAGUGGCGGACGGGUGAGUAAUGCUUGGGAAUCUGGCUUAUGGAGGGGGAUAACUACUGGAAACGGUAGCUAAUACCGCGU